GAAAAUUGUCAACCACUCCUUCCUUAGGGGGUAAAAGCAACAUUCAGCACCGGGGGCAGGUCAAGGCGAGGCUGGCUCCCAUCUCCAGGCCCCAAGGAGCCACACCUGGACCAGACCCCAGGAAAGGCAAGGGCACUAGCUAGUGGGAGCCACCCCUGCUACGCUGAUGCUGGAGAAGCAAGAACUCUGGAGAAGCAGCCUCCUGGGACCAGAGGGGGGCCAGCAGCAGGCAGCUCGGCUACAGAACUCUCACCCACGCCUCUCCAAGCCUCCCGACAGAAGACAGAGGUCCCCCACAGCCCAGAGACAUUUCCUGAAGACAUGGGGACCACAGAGGCAGAAACAGCCCAUCCACCCAGGAGCUGCCCCCCACGCUGCCGGGAGCCAGCACCCAGAGCCGCCAGAUAAAACUGAGGCCACCUGGUUCAACAUUGCCUUUCACAGAAGGGGAAACAGCCACAGAAAGAAGGGCCUGGUAAGAAGUGGAACCUGGGACCCCCAAGCGGUGUCUCUCAUCCUGACUGGGGAUCCAGAGUAGGAGGGAGCCUUUGGUGGG
rnacentral:lncRNA from 1 species